rnacentral:rRNA from 1 species
AGUGAACGCUGGCGGUAGGCCUAACACAUGCAAGUCGAACGGCAGCACAGUAAGAGCUUGCUCUUACGGGUGGCGAGUGGCGGACGGGUGAGGAAUACAUCGGAAUCUACUUUUUCGUGGGGGAUAACGUAGGGAAACUUACGCUAAUACCGCAUACGACCUACGGGUGAAAGCAGGGGAUCUUCGGACCUUGCGCGAUUGAAUGAGCCGAUGUCGGAUUAGCUAGUUGGCGGGGUAAAGGCCCACCAAGGCGACGAUCCGUAGCUGGUCUGAGAGGAUGGUCAGCCACACUGGAACUGAGACACGGUCCAGACUCCUACGGGAGGCAGCAGUGGGGAAUAUUGGACAAUGGGCGCAAGCCUGAUCCAGCCAUACCGCGUGGGUGAAGAAGGCCUUCGGGUUUUAAAGCCCUUUUGUUGGGAAAGAAAAGCAGCAGGUUAAUACCCCGCUGUUCUGACGGUACCCAAAGAAUAAGCACCGGCUAACUUCGUG